rnacentral:rRNA from 1 species
UCGGGAAUUUUGGGCAAUGGGCGAAAGCCUGAUCCAGCAAUGCCGCGUGAGUGAUGAAGGCCUUAGGGUUGUAAAGCUCUUUUACCAGGGAUGAUAAUGACAGUACCUGGAGAAUAAGCUCCGGCUAACUCCGUGCCAGCAGCCGCGGUAAUACGGAGGGAGCUAGCGUUGUUCGGAAUUACUGGGCGUAAAGCGUACGUAGGCGGUGACUCAAGUCAGAGGUGAAAGCCUGGAGCUCAACUCCAGAACUGCCUUUGAAACUAGGUCGCUAGAAUCACGGAGAGGUGAGUGGAAUUCCGAGUGUAGAGGUGAAAUUCGUAGAUAUUCGGAAGAACACCAGUGGCGAAGGCGGCUCACUGGACGUGUAUUGACGCUGAGGUACGAAAGCGUGGGGAGCAAGCAGGAUUAGAUACCCUUGUAGUCCCUGAGCGGGCUGGCAAGGCGCAU